rnacentral:rRNA from 1 species
AUCAGAUUGAACGCUGGCGGCAGGCCUAACACAUGCAAGUCGAGCGGAAACGAGUUAUCUGAACCUUCGGGGAACGAUAACGGCGUCGAGCGGCGGACGGGUGAGUAAUGCCUAGGAAAUUGCCCUGAUGUGGGGGAUAACCAUUGGAAACGAUGGCUAAUACCGCAUGAUGCCUACGGGCCAAAGAGGGGGACCUUCGGGCCUCUCGCGUCAGGAUAUGCCUAGGUGGGAUUAGCUAGUUGGUGAGGUAAGGGCUCACCAAGGCGACGAUCCCUAGCUGGUCUGAGAGGAUGAUCAGCCACACUGGAACUGAGACACGGUCCAGACUCCUACGGGAGGCAGCAGUGGGGAAUAUUGCACAAUGGGCGCAAGCCUGAUGCAGCCAUGCCGCGUGUGUGAAGAAGGCCUUCGGGUUGUAAAGCACUUUCAGUCGUGAGGAAGGCGGUGUACGUUAAUAGCUGCAUUCGUUUGACGUUAGCGACAGAAGAAGCACCGGCUAACUCCGUGCCAGCAGCCGCGGUAAUACGGAGGGUGCGAGCGUUAAUCGGAAUUACUGGGCGUAAAGCGCAUGCAGGUGGUUUGUUAAGUCAGAUGUGAAAGCCCGGGGCUCAACCUCGGAAUUGCAUUUGAAACUGGCAGACUAGAGUACUGUAGAGGGGGGUAGAAUUUCAGGUGUAGCGGUGAAAUGCGUAGAGAUCUGAAGGAAUACCGGUGGCGAAGGCGGCCCCCUGGACAGAUACUGACACUCAGAUGCGAAAGCGUGGGGAGCAAACAGGAUUAGAUACCCUGGUAGUCCACGCCGUAAACGAUGUCUACUUGGAGGUUGUGGCCUUGAGCCGUGGCUUUCGGAGCUAACGCGUUAAGUAGACCGCCUGGGGAGUACGGUCGCAAGAUUAAAACUCAAAUGAAUUGACGGGGGCCCGCACAAGCGGUGGAGCAUGUGGUUUAAUUCGAUGCAACGCGAAGAACCUUACCUACUCUUGACAUCCAGAGAACUUUCCAGAGAUGGAUUGGUGCCUUCGGGAACUCUGAGACAGGUGCUGCAUGGCUGUCGUCAGCUCGUGUUGUGAAAUGUUGGGUUAAGUCCCGCAACGAGCGCAACCCUUAUCCCUUGUUUGCCAGCGAGUAAUGUCGGGAACUCCAGGGAGCACUGCCGGUGAUAAACCGGAGGAAGGUGGGGACGACGUCAAGUCAUCAUGGCCCUUACGAGUAGGGCUACACACGUGCUACAAUGGCGCAUACAGAGGGCAGCCAACUUGCGAAAGUGAGCGAAUCCCAAAAAGUGCGUCGUAGUUCCCGGAUUGGAGUCUGCAACUCGACUCCAUGAAGUCGGAAUCAGCUAGUAAUCGUGGAUCAGAAUGCCACGGUGAAUACGUUCCCGGGCCUUGUACACACCGCCCGUCACACCAUGGGAGUGGGCUGCAAAAGAAGUAGGUAGUUUAACCUUCGGGGGGACGCUUACCACUUUGUGGUUCAUGACUGGGGUGAAAUCAAA